rnacentral:rRNA from 1 species
ACCCUGAUCCAGCCAUGCCGCGUGAGUGAUGAAGGCCCUAGGGUCGUAAAGCUCUUUCGCCUGUGAAGAUAAUGACGGUAGCAGGUAAAGAAACCCCGGCUAACUCCGUGCCAGCAGCCGCGGUAAUACGGAGGGGGUUAGCGUUGUUCGGAAUUACUGGGCGUAAAGCGCACGUAGGCGGAUCGGAAAGUUGGGGGUGAAAUCCCGGGGCUCAACCCCGGAACUGCCUCCAAAACUAUCGGUCUAGAGUUCGAGAGAGGUGAGUGGAAUUCCGAGUGUAGAGGUGAAAUUCGUAGAUAUUCGGAGGAACACCAGUGGCGAAGGCGGCUCACUGGCUCGAUACUGACGCUGAGGUGCGAAAGUGUGGGGAGCAAACAGGAUUAGAUACCCUGGUAGUCCACACCGUAAACGAUGAAUGCCAGUCGUCGGGUAGCAUGCUAUUCGGUGACACACCUAACGGAUUAAGCAUUCCGCCUGGG